rnacentral:rRNA from 1 species
UACGUGUGGACCAAGCGUUGUUCGGAAUUACUGGGCUUAAAGGGUGCGUAGGCGGUUUUUUAAGUCAGGGGUGAAAUCCGAUGGCCCAACCAUCGAACUGCCUCUGAUACUGAGGAACUUGAGUGUGUGAGGGGUGAGCGGAACGUGUGGUGUAGCGGUGAAAUGCGCAGAUAUCACACGGAAGGCCAGAGGCGAAGGCGGCUCACUGGCACACAACUGACGCUGAGGCACGAAAGCGUGGGGAGCAAACAGG